rnacentral:rRNA from 1 species
UACGUAGGGGGCAAGCGUUAUCCGGAUUUACUGGGUGUAAAGGGAGCGUAGACGGACUGGCAAGUCUGAUGUGAAAGGCGGGGGCUCAACCCCUGGACUGCAUUGGAAACUGUCAGUCUUGAGUGCCGGAGAGGUAAGCGGAAUUCCUAGUGUAGCGGUGAAAUGCGUAGAUAUUAGGAGGAACACCAGUGGCGAAGGCGGCUUACUGGACGGUAACUGACGUUGAGGCUCGAAAGCGUGGGGAGCAAACAGG